CAAGUCGAGCGGUAACAUGGUUAGUAGCAAUACUAACUGAUGACGAGCGGCGGACGGGUGAGGAACACGUAGGAACUUACCUUUCAGAGGGGGAUAACUAAGGGAAACUUUAGCUAAUACCGCGUAAUCUCGCAAGAGCAAAGCUGCCCGCAAGGGUGGCGCUGAAAGAGAGGCCUGCGUCCGAUUAGCUAGUUGGUGAGGUAAUGGCUCACCAAGGCGAUGAUCGGUAACCGGUCUGAGAGGACGACCAGUCACAUUGGGACUGAGACACGGCCCAAACUCCUACGGGAGGCAGCAGUGGGGAAUCUUGGACAAUGGGGGCAACCCUGAUCCAGCGAUGCCGCGUGGGUGAAGAAGGCCUUCGGGUUGUAAAGCCCUUUAGGCCGGGACGAAGUUUAUCGGGGGAAUAUCCCGGUAAGUUGACGGUACCGGCAGAAUAAGCACCGGCAAACUCUGUGCCAGCAGCCGCGGUAAUACAGAGGGUGCAAGCGUUAAUCGGAGUUACUGGGCGUAAAGGGCGCGUAGGCGGUUUGAUGAGUGUGAUGUGAAAGCCCUGGGCUUAACCUAGGAAGCGCAUCGCAAACGAUCAGACUGGAGUAGAUGAGAGGGUGGCGGAAUUUCCGGUGUAGCGGUGAAAUGCGUAGAGAUCGGAAGGAACGUCAAUGGCGAAGGCAGCCACCUGGCAUCAUACUGACGCUGAGGCGCGAAAGCGUGGGGAGCGAACAGGAUUAGAUACCCUGGUAGUCCACGCUGUAAACGAUGAUAACUAAAUGUUGUUAGGGGAACCUAUCAGUAUUGAAGCUAACGCGAUAAGUUAUCCGCCUGGGAAGUACGGCCGCAAGGUUGAAACUCAAAUGAAUUGACGGGGGCCCGCACAAGCGGUGGAGCAUGUGGUUUAAUUCGAUGCACCGCGAAGAAC
rnacentral:rRNA from 1 species